ACCGCAUAUUCUGUGAGCAGGAAAGCAGGGGACCGCAAGGCCUUGCGCUCUUUGAGCGGCCGAUGUCAGAUUAGCUAGUUGGUGAGGUAAAGGCUUACCAAGGCGACGAUCUGUAGCGGGUCUGAGAGGAUGAUCCGCCACACUGGAACUGAGACACGGUCCAGACUCCUACGGGAGGCAGCAGUGGGGAAUUUUGGACAAUGGGGGCAACCCUGAUCCAGCCAUGCCGCGUGAGUGAAGAAGGCCUUCGGGUUGUAAAGCUCUUUCGGCCGGGAAGAAAUCGCAUGGGCCAAUACCCUGUGUGGAUGACGGUACCGGAAUAAGAAACACCGGCUAACUACGUGCCAGCAGCCGCGGUAAUACGUAGGGUGCGAGCGUUAAUCGGAAUUACUGGGCGUAAAGCGUGCGCAGGCGGUUUUGUAAGACAGGCGUGAAAUCCCCGGCUUAACCUGGGAACUGCGUUUGUGACUGCAAGGCUAGAGUACGGCAGAGGGGGGUGGAAUUCCACGUGUAGCAGUGAAAUGCGUAGAGAUGUGGAGGAACACCAAUGGCGAAGGCAGCCCCCUGGGUCGAUACUGACGCUCAUGCACGAAAGCGUGGGUAGCAAACAGGAUUAGAUACCCUGGUAGUCCACGCCCUAAACUAUGUCAACUAGGUGUUGGGUGGGUAAAACCAUUUAGUACCGUAGCUAACGCGUGAAGUUGACCGCCUGGGGAGUACGGCCGCAAGGUUAAAACUCAAAGGAAUUGACGGGGACCCGCACAAGCGGUGGAUGAUGUGGAUUAAUUCGAUGCAACGCGAAAAACCUUACCUACCCUUGACAUGCCAGGAACUUGCCAGAGAUGGCUUGGUGCCCGAAAGGGAGCCUGGACACAGGUGCUGCAUGGCUGUCGUCAGCUCGUGUCGUGAGAUGUUGGGUUAAGUCCCGCAACGAGCGCAACCCUUGACGUUAAUUGCCAUCAUUUAGUUGGGCACUUUAACGAGACUGCCGGUGACAAACCGGAGGAAGGUGGGGAUGACGUCAAGUCCUCAUGGCCCUUAUGGGUAGGGCUUCACACGUCAUACAAUGGUCGGUACAAAGGGUUGCCAAGCCGCGAGGCGGAGCCAAUCCCAGAAAGCCGAUCGUAGUCCGGAUUGCAGGCUGCAACUCGCCUGCAUGAAGUCGGAAUCGCUAGUAAUCGUGGAUCAGCAUGUCACGGUGAAUACGUUCCCGGGUCUUGUACACACCGCCCGUCACACCAUGGGAGCGGGUUCCGCCAGAAGUAGGUAGCCUAACCGCAAGGGGGGCGCUUACCACGGCGGGGUUCGUGACUGGGGUGAAGUCGUAACAAGGUA
rnacentral:rRNA from 1 species